AGCAGCCGCGGUAAUUCCAGCUCCAAUAGCGUAUAUUAAAGUUGUUGCAGUUAAAAAGCUCGUAGUUGAAUUUCGGGGUUAGUAGGUUGGUCGUGCCACUGGUAUGUACUGGUUCUACUGAUCCCUCCUUCUUGUAGAACCGUAAUGCCAUUCACUUGGUGUUGCGGGGAAACAGGACUGUUACUUUGAAAAAAUUAGAGUGUUUAAAGCAGGCUAACGCUUGAAUACAUUAGCAUGGAAUAAUGAAAUAGGACGUUCGAUCCUAUUUUGUUGGUUUCUAGGAUUGACGUAAUGAUUAAUAGGGAUAGUUGGGGGCAUUAGUAUUCAAUUGUCAGAGGUGAAAUUCUUGGAUUUAUUGAAGACUGACUACUGCGAAAGCAUUUGCCAAGGAUGUUUUCAUUAAUCAAGAACGAAAGUUAGGGGAUCGAAGACGAUCAGAUACCGUCGUAGUCUUAACCAUAAACUAUGCCGACUAGGGAUCGGAUGAUGUUAAUUUUUAAUGACUCAUUCGGCGCCUUAC
rnacentral:rRNA from 1 species